AACUUUCGACAACGGAUCACUUGGUUCUGGCAUCGAUGAAGAACGCAGCGAAAUGCGAUAAGUAAUGUGAAUUGCGGAAAAUUGUGAAUCAUCGAAUCUUUGAACGCACAUUGCGCCCCCUGGUAUUCCGGGGAGCAUGCCUGUUUGAGCGUCAUAUUACACUUCGAGCGUAGCUUGGUGUUGGGCUCUGCGUCCAAAAGGACGGGCCUCAAAGCAAGUGGCAAGGCGUGUGUUUAUCCCCCAGCUGCAGUAAUAAUCCGCUCGGCUGGGUUGAAAACAACACAUCUAUCAAAACAUUGUGCAGUAGCCCUGCACUUUAUAUGUUUGACCUCAAAUCAGGUAGGGAUACCCGCUGAACUUAAGCAUAUCAAUAAGCGGAGGCU
rnacentral:misc_RNA from 1 species